AAAAAAUAAAAUAGGCUAGUAUCUUCUUCAUUUCUAAAAAAUACACGCACCAAGAAACCCUUGUCUUCUUCCCCCUUCUUCUUCUACCUCGUUCACCUUUCUUCUUCCACCGUCAACCCUAAAACCUUUGAUUCUUUUUCAAAGUAAGAAUAGAGAUUCAAAAAACAAACCCUCAAAAUCCCUAUUUUUCUCUCUUAAAAAGCAUAACCCUAAUAGCUUCUAAAUCUAUCCCGUCAGCUCCUUCAUAAAUUUUUCUUUUCAAAUGUUAGGUUUUUUGUUACUUUCGAUAUAAAUGUACUAUGUAUUUCCAUCAUAGUCCAUAUUGUCGCCGUACAUCGUCUUGCCGUGGAACUGCGUUUCACCGAACUCUAUCGCCAUACUCUGUUUAUGUUUUUCUUUUUUGGUUUAAAUUUGUGUUUGUCAAGUUCUGUCUCUUUGUUCUUGCAUUUCAGGAUGAUUCAUAGAGAAGAAUUCGACACAAAUAAUUUUGAUUGCGACAUGCUAUGCUUCAAAGGUUGUACUGACAAAUUUGAGUGGAUGCAUCAAUGGUCUUUUUAUGAAGCUUGGUAGAUCUCAAAAGAAAAAUCUGUUUUUGGAAUCAUUGAAGGCAGAAGGUGAAGUCAUUCUUAAAGAUGACUAUGUCUGUUUCAGACAACUGCCUCCACCACUAUUUUUUCCUUCCUUUUAUGCUAUUGCAGUUUUUGCGGGUGCAGGCCUAUUUUGGUUAACGUUUUGACGCCAUUUCAACGGUCCAUUUAUACUGUCAUGUGUUGUAGUUAUGUUUGGUUUCUCUUACUUUAAUUAAUUAUAAUGUUCUCCUUAAAUGAUCUUUGGUUAGGUGAUAGUUAAUAUAUUGGUUCGGUGCAGUUUCGGUGGGUGCAUGCCUGUUCUGGUUCACGUUUUGAGGCCAUUUCAACGGUAUAUUUAUAUUGUCAUGCUUUAUAGUUCUGUUUUGUUUCUCUUACUUUAAUUAAUUGUGUUGUUCUCCUUAAAUGAGCUUUGGUUAGGUGAUAGUACAUAUCUUGGUUCAGUGGUGUUUAUGGGCGUACAGACUUGUUUUGGUUCACGUUUUGAGGCCAUUUCAAUGGUAUAUUUAUAUUGCCAUGCUUUGAAGUUCUGUUUUUUUUUUUUUACUUUAAUUAAUUGUGUUGUUCUCCUUAAAUGACCUUUGGUUAGGUGAUAGUUCAAAUCUUGUUACGGUGUAGUUUCUACGAGCACAAUCCUGUUUUGUUCACAUUUUGAGGUCAUUUCGACUACUACUUAUACUGUCAUGCUUUGUAAUUGGAAUAUUGAUGAAAUGGACCAUCAAUCUUGAUAACAUGGCUCUUUCAGUUGGUUUGAUUUGGCAGUUAUUUUCUUAUUCUACUUGGCCUAGUUAUGUGAUUUUUGUGUUAUAGUGUAAGAUUUUAGAGGAAUUUCUCUAUAAAUGAGGUGGUGUAUGAGGGACAAUUUUAGUUUGGUACUCAUAAUUGUGAUAAAAGUAUGAUGAAAACUUUUCCCUAAUUCAUGUGUGCUUACUUUAUCAAAAUGAGUAAUUAUGUUGCAUUAUUCUUAUGAAUUACUUUUAAUCUGUCAUUUAAAAAACAUUCUAUAUUCCUUCUCUUCAUAAGUUAACCCAUGUUCAUACGCAAAACAUUGAAUCUGAUAUUUAUAUAGGCUUGUAUGAGUUAUAGUUUAUAUAAAUUUGUUAACAAUGUUUUACAUUGCUAUAUCUUUGGACAGUUAUUUGUAGACUUUAAAUUUCCUAACGUGCAACUAAUUAUUUUAUGUGUAUUUCCAUUUCCUGUUUGCAAUGGUAGUAUUCAAGCUCAUGGUCAAUAUCAUAGUGAAAUGAGAUUAAACUAUUCCGGCAAACUUAGAAUCCAACAUGUCAAAGGAGAUGAUGAAAAUGAUAUCUAAUAUCCUUCCUAAUUAGCCUCAGUAUUUCUAUACAUGGCCUACUGCUACAAUUUUUGCUCCAGAAGAAAAGAUGUUGGUUCUUAUAUGCCCCUGGAAGUUUAGACUCUGUUGACAAACUUUGAAUAGCAUGUUGGUUGUAAAUUAUAUAUAUAUAUAUA